rnacentral:rRNA from 1 species
UACGAAGGGGGCGAGCGUUGUUCGGAAUUACUGGGCGUAAAGGGCGCGUAGGCGGCCGAUCAAGUCAGAUAUGAAAGUCCUGGGCUUAACCUGGGGACUGCAUUUGAUACUGAUUGGCUUGAAUUCGGGAGAGGAUAGCGGAAUUCCCAGUGUAGAGGUGAAAUUCGUAGAUAUUGGGAAGAACACCGGUGGCGAAGGCGGCUCACUGGCUCAUUUCUGACGCUCAGGCGCGACAGCGUGGGGAUCAAACAGG